rnacentral:rRNA from 1 species
CCUACGGGCGGCAGCAGUGAGGAAUAUUGGUCAAUGGCCGGAAGGCUGAACCAGCCAAGCCGCGUGAAGGACGAAGGUGCCAAGCAUUGUAAACUUCUUUUGUCAAGGGACAAAAUCAGGCUCGAGAGCCUGACCGCGGGUACUUGAAGAAAAAGCAUCGGCUAACUCCGUGCCAGCAGCCGCGGUAAUACGGAGGAUGCGAGCGUUAUCCGGUUUUAUUGGGUUUAAAGGGUGCGCAGGCGGAAGGUCAAGUCAGAGGUAAAAUGGAGAGGCUAAACCUCUACGAGCCGUUGAAACUGGUUUUCUUGAGUGAGUGAGAAGGAUGCGGAAUGCGUGGUGUAGCGGUGAAAUGCAUAGAUAUCGGGCGGAACCCCGAUGGCGAAGGCAGCUUACCGGCUCCACACUGACGCUGAGGCACGAAAGCGUGGGUAGCGAACAGGAUUAGAUACCCGAGUAGUC